rnacentral:rRNA from 1 species
AAGAGUACGUGAAACCGUUCAGGGGUAAACCUGUGAAACCCAAAAGAUCGAAGGAGGAGAUUCAUCGUCAGUGUAUUCAGUAUUAAUGCAGGCUAUGAUGUGAUGAUAGAAUCCUUGUGGUCACUAAAUUAUACUUGCUUGUAUUAUUUUUGCUGGGUAUGUCGGCGUGCACUUCUCCUCUAGUAGAACGUCGCAACUCGUUGGAUGUUUAUCUAUGGCCUGAAUGGUAGCCUUUGAUAUUUUUAAUAUUGAAGACCUUUGGUGUUCUGAUAAACUGUCUGACGGUACACAUAAGAUAUUGAGCCGCAAUUAUUUGCGUUAGACUUGCCGCAAGUUAGGCUUUAUUCUAGUAGUGCGGAUCUAAUGCCGUCGCUGGUCAAAGUUUACUGUUAGCUGUGUAAUGGCUUUAACUGGCUUAUUUAUCGGUUAGCGAUGCUACUGCUUUGGGUAC